rnacentral:rRNA from 1 species
AGGCGAUGAAGGGCGUGCUAAUCUGCGAUAAGCGCCGGUAAGGUGAUAUGAACCGUUAUAACCGGCGAUACCCGAAUGGGGAAACCCAGUGUGACUCGUCACACUAUCAUUAACUGAAUCCAUAGGUUAAUGAGGCGAACCGGGGGAACUGAAACAUCUAAGUACCCCGAGGAAAAGAAAUCAACCGAGAUUCCCCCAGUAGCGGCGAGCGAACGGGGAGGAGCCCAGAGCCUGAAUCAGCAUGUGUGUUAGUGGAAGCGUCUGGAAAGGCGCGCGAUACAGGGUGACAGCCCCGUACACAAAAGCGCAUGUGCUGUGAGCUCGAUGAGUAGGGCGGGACACGUGGUAUCCUGUCUGAAUAUGGGGGGACCAUCCUCCAAGGCUAAAUACUCCUGACUGACCGAUAGUGAACCAGUACCGUGAGGGAAAGGCGAAAAGAACCCCGGCGAGGGGAGUGAAAAAGAACCUGAAACCGUGUACGUACAAGCAGUGGGAGCCCCACCACCAAAGCAUUUGCUGUACCGCGUUGACGGAGCGAAGCGACGUCAAACCGAUAAAACAGCAGUGUAAAGUGAGCCGCAGGGCGCUUUGCGCGACAGCGCAAAGGCAGGCGGUUUCGCGUAGCGAAAGCGAAUGCUUUGGGGUGGGGUGACUGCGUACCUUUUGUAUAAUGGGUCAGCGACUUAUAUUCUGUAGCAAGGUUAACCGAAUAGGGGAGCCGGAGGGAAACCGAGUCUUAAUUGGGCGUUAAGUUGCAGGGUAUAGACCCGAAACCCGGUGAUCUAGCCAUGGGCAGGUUGAAGGUUGGGUAACACUAACUGGAGGACCGAACCGACUAAUGUUGAAAAAUUAGCGGAUGACCUGUGGCUGGGGGUGAAAGGCCAAUCAAACCGGGAGAUAGCUGGUUCUCCCCGAAAGCUAUUUAGGUAGCGCCUCGUGAAUUCAUCUCCGGGGGUAGAGCACUGUUUCGGCUAGGGGGCCAUCCCGGCUUACCAACCCGAUGCAAACUGCGAAUACCGGAGAAUGUUAUCACGGGAGACACACGGCGGGUGCUAACGUCCGUCGUGAAGAGGGAAACAACCCAGACCGCCAGCUAAGGUCCCAAAGUCAUGGUUAAGUGGGAAACGAUGUGGGAAGGCCCAGACAGCCAGGAUGUUGGCUUAGAAGCAGCCAUCAUUUAAAGAAAGCGUAAUAGCUCACUGGUCGAGUCGGCCUGCGCGGAAGAUGUAACGGGGCUAAACCAUGCACCGAAGCUGCGGCAGCGACACUGUGUGUUGUUGGGUAGGGGAGCGUUCUGUAAGCCUGUGAAGGUGUGUCGUGAGGCAUGCUGGAGGUAUCAGAAGUGCGAAUGCUGACAUAAGUAACGAUAAAGCGGGUGAAAAGCCCGCUCGCCGGAAGACCAAGGGUUCCUGUCCAACGUUAAUCGGGGCAGGGUGAGUCGACCCCUAAGGCGAGGCCGAAAGGCGUAGUCGAUGGGAAACGGGUUAAUAUUCCCGUACUUGGUGUUACUGCGAAGGGGGGACGGAGAAGGCUAUGUUGGCCGGG